CUCAGUGCCGCCAGCCCCUUCUCCCUCGCUCCCGUAACACAUACACACACACCCACAAGAGAAAUGGAAAAGAGAGAGCGCCAGCAGAGAAGAGGAAGAGGGGCGAGAUGUCCGCGCCACCGUCCAGUCGUCGCCACCAUCGUAUCAGCGCCUCGCUGCCGUCAUAUUCGCAGGCAUGGAGGAAGCCCUUCGCUGCUGCUCGUGAAGCCGAUGCCGUCGCGGGUCAGAACUGAGGCGAGAGAGAAGGUCACGAAGAAGGAGAGAACCGCGCCGUCCAGUCGCCGUCUAUGAAGCCUGGGUCGCCAUCCACGCUCGCCGCCGCCGCUCGUCUUCCCCACUGCUAGACGUCGUCGCCAUUUGCAAAUAAGAGAGGGAGCUCGCCUGGGCUUCAAGUCUGCCACCAGAUCCGCCGUUGGAGUCGUGAACAGAGGAUGCAAGAGAGAGAACCGUCGCGGAGCUGCCGCCGCUGCCGCGUUGCUGGCCUCGCCGUCGUUAUGCUCGCGUUACUGCUGCGUCGCCGGAGCUCCACGCCACCGUUGCUGCUGCUGAGAACCGCCACUAUUGCCGUUGAGAUCCUCCGCUGUCGUCGUCGCCAGAGUUCUAGUCGCGCUGCCGCUCGAGGUGGUUGCCGGGGCUGUCGCCAAACCGUUCAGUGACCGCCGUUGUUUUGUUUUCUUAGUUCGGGUCGUGUUCUGAGCAUUGCAUAUCAAUUUUAAGUUGCUGUGCGUGCUGUGAAAGUGAUCAAGGACUGAGUUGUGGUUGCUGUUGAUUCCUGGCUGAGAGAAAAGAGUUCAGUUGACACGUUUGGGUUAUGGUUUCGCUUAUCGAGGGAUGGUGGCUUUGUCCCGUCUACAGUGAGGAUGGUGGUUUUAUCCUGCUCACAUAUUGAUAAAUUAUUUGGCAAGGAUGGUGGUUUAAUCCUGCUUGCGUGUUCCGAGCAAGGAUGGUAGUUUAGUCCCGCUUGCUUGUGGAACCUACAGAUAAGGAUUGUGGCUUAAUCUCGCUUAUCCGAGUCGGGUCUGGCAACAUAACCGAUGCAUGAGCUCAUGGCCAGUAGGACAAGCAUGCAUCAUAUGUAUUUAUAUGACAUUGUUUGGGUGUGUAUAUUGUAAUUGGUUUGCCUAUGUGAAUAGUUAUGUUUAAUUGCUAAUUGGUGUACUUGA